AAUCCAAAUUACAAAAAUAAUAUAUAAUUAUAGAUUUUAAAAAAUGUAUAAAUAUAAAACUUCAUAAUAGAAUGGAAGCCAGAAAUCAGAAAAACUUUUUAACAUAGUUUCAAAUGCAUAAUUUUAUCAAGUCAUGGUGUUCUUUAUAUGAUUUCUGCCCAUACAUGAUUCCAAAAAAUGUCUGUUGGUUCCAAGAAAGUUUGUUUCCCCAUUUAGCAGAAACUUUUUAUGUUUUGACUGUGAGCCUUUGUAUACAGAUAAACAAAGUGUGGUUAACAGUAGUAUGGUGUAAUCUCACUUCCUGUGAAUUGUUGAUGAUUUUCCAACAAUUAAAUUAAAUUAUUGAGUUUGGUUUGGUUUAUUAUUCCAUAGUAGGUAAACUACCAAUGUUUUCUCCAAAUGAUCAGGUACUCCCACUAUCCAUAUAAUAAUAAAUGCAUCAUAUAAAUAUAAAAUAAUUCAGUUAUGUUGUAUGUUAAUGUUUAUUUUCAUUUGUUAUUACUGAUACUGUAUAAAUUCAAGUCAAUUGGUAAUGGUUUUGUAACGUCAAAAUAUUGCAUUGCGAAUUUUAACUGUGUUUAAAACUUUUUAUC